GCCUACGACCAUAUCACCCUGAAUGCGCCCGAUCUCGUCUGAUCUCGGAAGCUAAGCAUGGUCGAGCCUGGUUAGUACUUGGGUGGGAGACUGCCUGGGAAUACCAGGUGUUGUAGGCU
ensembl:rRNA 5S_rRNA 5S ribosomal RNA